rnacentral:rRNA from 1 species
GAUGAACGCUGGCGGCGUGCCUAAUACAUGCAAGUCGAGCGAACAGACGAGGAGCUUGCUCCUCUGACGUUAGCGGCGGACGGGUGAGUAACACGUGGAUAACCUACCUAUAAGACUGGGAUAACUUCGGGAAACCGGAGCUAAUACCGGAUAAUAUAUUGAACCGCAUGGUUCAAUAGUGAAAGACGGUUUUGCUGUCACUUAUAGAUGGAUCCGCGCCGCAUUAGCUAGUUGGUAAGGUAACGGCUUACCAAGGCGACGAUGCGUAGCCGACCUGAGAGGGUGAACGGCCACACUGGAACUGGGACACGGGCCCGACCCCUACGGGAGGGAGGAGUAGGGAAACUUCCGCAAUGGGGGGAAGCCUGACGGAGCAAACCCGCGGGAGUGAUAGAAGUCUUCCGGUCCGAAAACCCUGUUUUUUGGGGAAAAAAAAUUUGUAAAGAAACAUUCCCGGCCUGACGGUAACUAAUCAAAAAGCCCCGGCUAACUACGUG